AGAGUUUGAUUAUGGUUCAGAUUGAACGCUGGCGGCAGGCUUAACACAUGCAAGUCGAGCGGUAGCACAGGGGAGCUUGCUCCCUGGGUGACGAGCGGCGGACGGGUGAGUAAUGUCUGGGAAACUGCCUGAUGGAGGGGGAUAACUACUGGAAACGGUAGCUAAUACCGCAUAACGUCGCAAGACCAAAGAGGGGGACCUUCGGGCCUCUUGCCAUCAGAUGUGCCCAGAUGGGAUUAGCUAGUAGGUGGGGUAAUGGCUCACCUAGGCGACGAUCCCUAGCUGGUCUGAGAGGAUGACCAGCCACACUGGAACUGAGACACGGUCCAGACUCCUACGGGAGGCAGCAGUGGGGAAUAUUGCACAAUGGGCGCAAGCCUGAUGCAGCCAUGCCGCGUGUGUGAAGAAGGCCUUCGGGUUGUAAAGCACUUUCAGCGAGGAGGAAGGUGGUGAGCUUAAUACGCUUAUCAAUUGACGUUACUCGCAGAAGAAGCACCGGCUAACUCCGUGCCAGCAGCCGCGGUAAUACGGAGGGUGCAAGCGUUAAUCGGAAUUACUGGGCGUAAAGCGCACGCAGGCGGUUUGUUAAGUCAGAUGUGAAAUCCCCGGGCUCAACCUGGGAACUGCAUUUGAAACUGGCAAGCUAGAGUCUCGUAGAGGGGGGUAGAAUUCCAGGUGUAGCGGUGAAAUGCGUAGAGAUCUGGAGGAAUACCGGUGGCGAA
rnacentral:rRNA from 1 species